AUUGAACGCUGGCGGCGUGCCUAACACAUGCAAGUCGAGCGGUAACAGGUGUAGCAAUACAUGCUGACGAGCGGCGAACGGGUGAGUAAUGCUUUGGAAUCUUCCCAGUAGUGGGGAAUAACCAGUCGAAAGAUUGGCUAAUACCGCAUACGUCUGUAAAGGGAAAGCGGGGCGUCGUAAGACCUCGCGCUAUUGGAUGAGCAAAGUACGGAUUAGCUAGUUGGUGGGGUAAGNGGCCGUACCAAGGCGACAAUCCGUAGCUGGUCUGAG
rnacentral:rRNA from 1 species